CCUACGGGAGCAGCAGUGGGGAAUAUUGGACAAUGGGCGAAAGCCUGAUCCAGCAAUGCCGCGUGAGUGAUGAAGGCCUUAGGGUUGUAAAGCUCUUUUACCCGGGAUGAUAAUGACAGUACCGGGAGAAUAAGCCCCGGCUAACUCCGUGCCAGCAGCCGCGGUAAUACGGAGGGGGCUAGCGUUGUUCGGAAUUACUGGGCGUAAAGCGCACGUAGGCGGCUUUGUAAGUUAGAGGUGAAAGCCCGGAGCUCAACUCCGGAAUUGCCUUUAAGACUGCAUCGCUUGAAUCAUGGAGAGGUGAGUGGAAUUCCGAGUGUAGAGGUGAAAUUCGUAGAUAUUCGGAAGAACACCAGUGGCGAAGGCGACUCACUGGACAUGUAUUGAAGCUGAGGUGCGAAAGAGUGGGGAGCAAACAGGAUUAGAUACCCGCGUAGUC
rnacentral:rRNA from 1 species